ACCUAAUCGGAACAGGCGGGUGUCCCCGAUUCUUAAUCCCUAGGUCGCAGGUUCGAUUCCUGCCGAGG
rnacentral:tRNA from 1 species